GUCGGGUCUGAGUCACCACUAGGGCUGACAAAGGAUUAGAAACCUGGAGCCUUUGCAGGAGUAACAAAGGAGCUGAGACGGGAGGGUCCCUUGUCCUGCUUCAUGAGCCACGCCUCAUACUCAGAGCAAAGUAACUCCACAGGCUUAAUAGAAUCCAGGAUCUGGGAACCAUUGCUGAGGAAGUCAUAGACAUUUCUCAAUUAAUGAAUGAAAGCUGCUCCCUUGGAAGAGGAGGAGAAUGCUAACCACAGUUGAGGAAUCUGAAGAAAGGAAAGGCCAACAGAAGCAAAUCAAUGAUAAAAUCAGAGGAAAUUAUCAGACGCUGAUGGGGUUCUAUACUCUUCCUACCAUGGAAUCACAGUUCAAGAACAUUCAUCUCAUUCUCAGAAUGAAGAGAUGAAGAGUAUCAGAAUCCAGACAAGAAAGGUCUUUCAUCUGUAGAUCUCAGCAGAGUUUGAAAAUAUCAAUUAAAUGUUACAACAUUCCUUUGAAGUGAGUAUUACUAGGUCCAUUUUCCAGACAAGAAAACUGAGAGUCUAAGGGGCUUGCCAGGGGCUACUCAACCAAGAUUCUAGGAGGCCAAGUGCUUCCGACUUCACCUGUGCAGAGCUCUGGGUCUCACAGAGAGAGAGAGAGAGCCUGAGACAGUCUGCCAAAGUUGUUCCCAGGCUCUGAGAAGGAAGACCCUAAAGAAGUAUUCCCCACAAUGCUUCACGAGCUCCGUAGGAACUUUUCCCUUGUCAAAGGGACUGGCUCCAAGAACCGCAAGACUCCAUGAAUCAUUUCUCAGCCUUCUAGUGGGAUGUCAUUUCUCCUCUUCAAAGCUGUCAAAAACCAUUGUUGUUGCUUCUUUUAUGCUCUACCUUGGGUUAUAAUUAUUUAUGUUGGCAUCUGGUUUUUCUCUUAAGACUUCAGACAAGGAUCUUACAUUAUCCCUUAUGCUUGGUACAUAGUACAAGAUAAUAAGUAAAUAUUUUUUUUUACUUUAUUUGAAGUGUGGUUGGUAGGGGGCACCUAGGUGGCUCAGUGGUUAAGCAUCUGCUUUUAGCCCAGGAUAUGAUCCCAGGGUCCUGGGAUCGAGUCCUGCAUCAAGCUCCCCACAGGAAGCCUGCUUCUCCCUCUGCCUAUGUCUAUGCCUCUCUGUGUGUGCCUCUCAUGAAUAAAUAAAUAAAAUAUUUUUUAAAAAUGCA
rnacentral:lncRNA from 1 species